rnacentral:rRNA from 1 species
UUGUCUCAAAGAUUAAGCCAUGCAUGUCUAAGUAUAAGCAAUUAUACAGCGAAACUGCGAAUGGCUCAUUAUAUAAGUUAUCGUUUAUUUGAUAGUGCCUUACUACUUGGAUAACCGUGGUAAUUCUAGAGCUAAUACAUGCUAAAAAACCCGACUUUGGAAGGGUUGUAUUUAUUAGAUUAAAAACCAAUGCCCUCUGGGCUCACUGGUGAAUCAUGAUAACUUCUCGAAUCGCAUGGCCUUGUGCCGGCGAUGGCUCAUUCAAAUUUCUUCCCUAUCAACUUUCGAUGUUUGGGUAGUGGCCAAACAUGGUUGCAACGGGUAACGGAGGGUUAGGGCUCGACCCCGGAGAAGGAGCCUGAGAAACGGCUACUACAUCCAAGGAAGGCAGCAGGCGCGCAAAUUACCCAAUCCCGAUUCGGGGAGGUAGUGACAAUAAAUACUGAUACAGGGCUCUUUUGGGUCUUGUAAUUGGAAUGAGUACAAUUUAAAUCCCUUAACGAGGAACAAUUAGAGGGCAAGUCUGGUGCCAGCAGCCGCGGUAAUUCCAGCUCUAAUAGCGUAUAUUAAAGUUGUUGUGGUUAAAAAGCUCGUAGUUGAA